AUUGAACGCUGGCGGCAUGCCUUACACAUGCAAGUCGAACGGUAACACGCCUUCGGGUGCUGACUAGUGGCGGACGGGUGAGUAAGGCAUCGGAAUGCGCCCGGAGGUGGGGGGUAACGGAGCGAAAGCUGUGCUAAUACCUCAUGCGAUCUGAUGAUGAAAGCGGGGGACCACGCAGCAAUGUUUGGCCUCGCGCCUUUGGAGCGGCCGAUGUCGGAUUAGGUAGUUGGUGGGGUAAAGGCCUACCAAGGCGACGAUCUGUAGCUGGUCUGAGAGGACGACCAGCCACACUGGAACUGAGACACGGCCCAGACUCCUACGGGAGGCAGCAGUGGGGAAUUUUGGACAAUGGGCGCAAGCCUGAUCCAGCAAUGCCGCGUGCGUGAAGAAGGCCUUCGGGUUGUAAAGCGCUUUUGUGCGGAAAGAAAAGGAUCUGGCUAAUACCUGGGGGUGAUGACGGUACCGGAAGAAUAAGCACCGGCUAACUACGUG
rnacentral:rRNA from 1 species